GGAUGUGAGGGCGAUCUGGCUGCGACAUCUGUCACCCCAUUGAUCACCAGGAUUGAUUCAGGUGAUCUGGCUGGCUAGGCGGGUGUCCCCUUCCUCCCUCACUACUCCAUGUGUGUCCCUCCCGAAGCUGCGCGCUCCGUCAAAGAGGACGACCUUCCCCGAUAGAGGACUGUUCUUCGGUCAAGGGUAUACCAGUAGUUGCGCUCCCCUGCUAGAACCUCGAAACAAGCUCUCAAGGUCCAUUUGUAGAAGAACGUAGGGUAGUCAAGCUUCCAAGACUCCAGACACAUCCAAAUGAGGCGCUGCAGGUGGCAGUCUGCCUUU
rnacentral:snRNA from 1 species